CAGUUGAAGAUCAACACAAACCAAAUAAAGAUGCGCAUUCUACAAACAAUAAAAAAAGAUCAAGUUUUGUGUCCAACACACUUGGAUGAGACGUGCCCGACCCCUGACUUUGUCUACCCUACAUUAAGUUGCACACUUCAUGACAGUAAACAUUGGUAUCAAGAUGGUGUGAUUGAUCUAUACCCUAGAAUAAGCUGUGACACUAUGAGACGGUCACAUAAUGAACAGCCAUCUUACAGACAACCGAAGGAGGCAUAGUAUUGUUUUCUUGUGUAUUGUCAUACACCUAAAGAGGAUUUUUUAAUCAUACAAUUAUGGUGUUUUUCAUUCAUUAAUGUGUCCUUU